UACGUAGGGUGCAAGCGUUGUCCGGAAUUAUUGGGCGUAAAGAGCUCGUAGGCGGUCAGUCGCGUCUGCUGUGAAAACUCGGGGCUUAACUCCGGGCCUGCAGUGGGUACGGGCUGACUAGAGUGCGGUAGGGGAGACUGGAAUUCCUGGUGUAGCGGUGAAAUGCGUAGAUAUCGGGAGGAACACCAGAGGCGAAGGCGGCGACCUGGACAGAUACUGACACUGAACUACGAAAGCGUGGGGAGCAAACAGG
rnacentral:rRNA from 1 species